rnacentral:misc_RNA from 1 species
AAGUCGUAACAAGGUUUCCGUAGGUGAACCUGCGGAAGGAUCAUUACUCUUAGCUUAAGUAACAUUUUCAAUGUCACUUAUUGCUAUCAACCAAACACCAAACUGUGCUCUUUUUUUUCCCACCCCACUCAUGUGUUUGUUGCUACUUUGCUAGUAGCAAACUCAUUCUACCAUUACCUUUAUAACUGAUUACAUUGUGUAUUGGGUACAUUCCAGGUCACACUGGAUGUCUCACUCACAUCUGUACACUCUGAAACUCACUGUGCUCCACUUGUGGAUCAUAGUGGUUAUGGAUGUACUUGUUGAACCACAGUAUGGAGAUAGCAUAUUCACAGCUUUGUAGCCGUGUGUUUGUCUAUCCCAUUCAGUGAAUACAACUCCGAACAAUGGAUAUCUCGGCUCUC